rnacentral:misc_RNA from 1 species
GUGAAUCAUCAAAUUUUUGAACGCAAAUUGCACUCUCUGGUAUUCCGGAGAGUAUGCCUGUUUGAGGGUCAGUUUAAUUAAAAAUCGGUGUGGUGGCUGCCUUUGGUGGUGCCGGACGGGAUUGGGGUGGUUUUGCUUUGGGUAAGGUGACCUAAAUUUUUGCAUGAUUUUUUUAGGACGUAUAUAAGUGAAUGUACGUUUGUUUUAGAUAUAGAUUACUAGGUGUGGUCAUCCUCAUGAUUCGCGCCUAUAAUUUUUCAUCAAAUUGCCUUCAAUUCGGGUAGGAUGAC